rnacentral:lncRNA from 1 species
GCUGCUCGUUGUGCCCAGUACAACGUCUCCAAGGCAUGUCCAAGCAUAGCUUCAUGCACAUCACUGUGCACCUAUACAUAUAAGGCGGACACAGUAUAUGGUGUAUGUGCCGAUAACGGAUGCUGGUGCGUAGUCUGCGUGAUACCACCUGCAGCUCAAUCUGCGUCUGCAGCCCAGAUUGCGCCUGCGGGGAAUUAAAGGAUAUCGCUUGCUUCCCUUUCUGCCUAAAUAGAAUAAAACAAUGUCUAAUUAAUGUAUUUUUCUCGUACCGACAACAUUGUAUCGGUGUAAGGACCUGCGAGGCAAAAUAACAUCCUAUUAAUAUUGAGCGCUCUUUGGCGAAAUGCAUGAUUAAUCAAUUGGACACUAUAGAGGAUGUAUAAAUAUCCUUUCAUUGCGAGUGGCCAUGAAAAUACGUUUGUGGUUUUUUUUUCUCCAUGUUGAGAACAUUACCAAACCAUUGGAACCGGUCCUCCAUGCAAGUUGCAUGUGGAUGGGAGAUUCACAGCCAAGAUAGUGAAUAACCAGCUCCAUAAGCAACCUUGUUCUGAUCUCGUCAAAACUAUCAAACCCAUCACUUCACACCAUAAACCUGGCAAGCCGGUUCAAAUCUGGUCGAGAAGAAGCCCUUGGGUCCUCGGUGGUCGUCUGAAAGGCAACUUGAAUCACAAAGGGAGUGUCCCUGACGGACCUGCAGGGUCUGAAGUGACGAUCAUCAGCAUGGCGGAUCGAUCAUGAGAUGAAUGCUAAAGCGGCAAGCUAACAUUUGGCAAACGUUGGGUGAAGACAACUGAUGAAAAGUACCCACACGGAUAAUCCAUGCUAACCGAGGCCAGCAGCCGCAUGCAUGGCCAGCACGAGACCUUGGUGCACUAGUAGAAAAAGGUCCAUUUGUCCCGGUUCCAGAGGCCCUUCUGUCCUGGUUUUGGACCCGGGACUAAAGCCCAUGACCUUUAGUCCCAAUUCUCUUACGAACCGGGACAGAUGGGCCUCCAUGUGGCCUCUCCGCCGAGCCCGGGCAGGAGGGCCUUUGUUCCCGGUUCGUAACCCCAACCGGGACCAAAAAGUGUCCACGCGUCAGCAGCUCAGGAGCUGGGGCUUUUGUUUUUUUUUUGAAGGGGGGAGGUUGGGGGUUCUGGAGUCGUUAAUUGGGCCAGACAGCCCAUCUAAGGAAGCCACAGGAGACGGUCGACGGAGCCCAGUCGCGCGAGUGGAUCGAGCACCAAGAUCCCUACCGAGGCGAGCGAGGAGGAGCGCGAGAAUUGAACACGACGCCCUUCAUCCGAGGUUGCAAGGGAAGCUGAUCCAGCCGACGAGGGAAUCCAGCGGACAUGCCGGAUGCGGAUGAAUCAGAGGCCCAGUCGAUCCGUCUAUGAAGUGGGAAGGGGGACGCGGGCGAUGAUGUUCGGCAACCCAUCUGUUGGGAACUGAUCGCAAUCGUACUUUAGUUUCUAAGAUCACAUUCAUGGCGAUUGUUGUGCCCAUCCUUUCCGCUGUCGAGUGGUACUUCUAUAUUUUUCCUCCCAUAACAAUCCUCGGUCACCCUCUCUACUCUGACAUCACAAGCAUCUUUCAGCAUCAUGCUCUGGUAUUACUUAUGCAUGAUUCGUGAAGAUUUGUCAUUGAGGUUUACAAUCGUUCAUUAUUAUACUUGUUCUUUUAGAUUUAUCAUUGUGCCCUACAUGAGUCUCUGUCAAAAUUUGCAUGUGUUAAUUCUGUAUGUAUGCAAUUUGAUAUUUUAAAAUACUAACAUUUGUCCACUUUGUCCUAAAGUAGUUUUUGCUGCCUGGAGGUGAGCAAAGCGAAGGUAUCCCAUUAUCAUGAUUCAGAGGACUCAUGUUAUUCUCUUUAUUGUUAGUGCAACCGACUCCGGUUUAUAUCUCUUCUUGGAAUAAAAAAAUGCAUAUAUGGACCUGACUUCUUAUGUAGCUAUGUUCAAUCAACACAUCAGCAUGUUUUUGUUGGGCUGCAGACAUCCCCGUUCUGCGAUAGGUGCUACAUAGGGAAUUAGGAUUUUACAAAAUUUGCAUACAGAAAUCUUCGGAAUUAAAACAUGUAAAUGUGGACAAGUAUGAAAGAAUACAAAAGACAACAUUUUUAUUUUCAAGUUAUAAAGUGGAAUCCAUAGAUUACAAAGGAAUGUUAUCUCCUAAAAGUGAAUAAUAACAAGACAUCCGUUCAUUCAAAUUUGUGAAUAUUUCUCAAGAUGGGUAAGAUUGACUUUCUCAGAUAGAGUGCGGUAUUGUGACGGUCCCUUUGACUACAUACAUGUUUGUCUCUUUGUUGUGAACAAGCAAGACCUGGAAGAACCAACCUAUUUGUUUAAAUUUCGAAAUCUUGGUGAUGUUGUUUUUCCUUCUUUGCGUAUACUUCUCCUAUUGUUUUGGCGACAUACACUUCAUUGCUAAUCUGCCUUUCAAUGACUAUAUCCUUUUUGGCUGAUAGUCCUCUUAAACCUUUAAAUCAGUUUUUUUAACUGGUGCUCAAUAUAAUGGAUUGUAAUGGUAAGCUGCUUAAUAUAAGAGCUUGGUAACUUGACUUUACGAAUUUAUCGUCCCUUUUUUGAAAUAUUUACUGUCAAUUCUGAGGUGGUGGGCAGCCUAGUGGAGGCUUAGGUAUGUUGAUGGUCCAUCUCCCUUGAUUCCAUUAUUUACAUCCUCUCGACCGCUAGCUCUCACUAGCUACCUGCAGGCACAUAUUUCGCCUAGCCACGCCACACAUGGUGCUCGAGAACUGAUGCUGGUGAGCAUAUCGUUGUGUACAUUCUACUCAUGGGUAAGAUUUUUUAGUUGAAUACAGUUUUGCAAACAGAUUACUUAUGUAUGUUUCUUAGAAAACAUUGCUCCUUGAAUAAUACCCCAUGAUACUUAAACAAGCUCUAUGUCGUUUUUACUAGAUCAGUUUGGUGGUGAUUUAUAUUGAGGAUUUGAUCAUUACUCAUGCAUGCUAAAAGAUUUAUCUGACAUCCAAUUUUGUUCAGGUACAUUUCAUUCUUUUGUACAUUGAAAACUAUUGUUGGUAUAUUUGAUAGCUAGACUGUGCACAUAAGUGUAGAGGCCAUUAGUUAUGUUUUUCAAGCUAUGUUGGUAUCUGUUUGAAGAUUAAUUCCAAUCUGAUAUGUUCCAUUGUCAUCUGACAUUUAAUAGUAAAAUAUACUAUUGAAAAUUAGUUAAAUAUACAUUGAAUAGUUCAAAUAAAGAAAUGCCAUGUCAGAUAAGUUAAGGUGACUACAUAUUUGUCAAUGGCUUUCUCAAAGGUAGGUUUCAAAUCAGAUGUCAUUCAAAACUCAUCCUUGAAUUACCUUUAUACUUGAUUAACUGGACUACAUCACGGAGUUGUCGUCUUUGAAGUUUGAUGAAAUAAGGCCCAUGGUUGUUUUCCACUCUUAAAUUGCCUUUAGUUUGAAAUAAGGCCCAUGGUUGUUUGCUUUCCACUCUUAAAUUGCCUUUUUGACAGCUACAAAAAACUAUACUGAUAGGAGUUUUGAUUUCCCUUCUUCCUGUACUUUUUCGAUAUCACAAAGAAUUGUUCACGCCUUAUUUGUCCAUUUCGUGUUGACAUUUCAACUUGACAAUUACGAGAGCAGCAUGAUUUUAUUUAUGAUUAUUGCUGUUGUAGAGGUGUUAAAUAUAUAAAGUAUGAAAGUCGUAAUUUCAUGAAAGUACUUUGUAAUAUCAGCUUCCUUUGCCUGAUUGAUGUUGCUUUACAGUCUUAUUUGUCAGCAUUUUGUUCAGCGAGUUAAUGCUUUUUCCAUGCUGUGAGGUCAUAUAUGUUGCAGUCACAAAGCACCAAUGAUUUUUCCAUAGACACAAAAGCAAUGCUCCGGCUAUAGCAUUAAUUACACACACUCGUAUUUCCUAGGCUGCUGUAUAAAUAUGUACAAAAGGAUUGCUAUAUCAAAUACACGUCUAUGAUCAGUGCGUAUUAUCUUCCUUCUGACAAUGCUUACCAUGCUUAUAGUAAUCUACAUGGGUCUGGUUCCUUUUAAUAUCAAUAUUUGUCAUCAGAUUCUGAUAUACAUUGUUUCAGUCCAAAAUGUACAGGGUGCACAUUUUCUACAUUUAAUUUCGACUAAGACUUUCUUUUCUUGGUGGUAUGAUCACUUAUUAGUAAUUUGAUGGUUAUCUAUAUAUGUUGAAUUUUCAUAGCAUUUUAACCUCCCAUAUCAAUAUAUUUUCAUAAUAUAAAUUGUUCAAUUUCAUUUCCAAUGUAUUUUACUCAUAUAUUUUUAUUAUUUCAUAAUAUGAAUGGUAUGACAAAUAUAUGAUUGAGUCUUUUGCAAAAAAAAAAUCUUGACUCGUGUAUUUUUAAAAAUUCCUUUCAUUCUUUUCAAAAUAGACGGGCGCGAAAACGCGUGCCAUCAAUGAUCUAGUCAUAAGUGAUGUCCCGACCAGAUUCUUUCAACGUCAAUGAUUUUACUUUUUGGCAAGAUACUUUGGAGGUACGUAAAGCUAUAGAUCAGCGAUGGAUCAACGUUGAGGUCAGGUAAAGAGGCGAUUUGUCCACUUCUUCUAGGGUGGCCGCUACGGUGGUGCCGGAGUUGAGUGACGGGCAUUGGUAUCUUGCUCAAGGGUUUCUUCAGCCGAGAUUGUAAUUUUCUAUCUCGACUAGCUAAUGGUAGUUUUUGCAAUAGCUAGGGUUGUCGUAUCUUUUUUGGUUCUGUCAAGUUGGUUUUUUAGUGGAUCGUAAUUUGAUAUUUAUUUUAUAAAUGAGACACACAUUACAUCGAGAAAAAAAAUCAAGGCUACAGAUCAACAUGACCUCGUGUGUCCCGCAUGACCGCCCAGGACCUGUGUAGUGCGUACGCCGGAUCGUAGGCUCAUACACGAUAUUAGAGCAACUCUAGCAGACCCCACAUCCCGUCCUGAUUCGCAAAAUAACCGCCAAAGUGCGGGUCGGGGCGCGAAAAACGUCCCGAUCAGACCCCGCAUCCCGCCUCGGCCUGCAAAUGUUUUUUGCGGGGCGCGACAAAACAUCUCCCCCAACCUCUAGAUUCACGGGCUAGAGGGACGACCCGAGCUCAGCCCCUAUCCGCAGCGAGAUUUGGCGGGAGGGAUAUUUNNNNNNNNNNNNNNNNNNNNNNNNNNNNNNNNNNNNNNNNNNNNNNNNNNNNNNNNNNNNNNNNNNNNNNNNNNNNNNNNNNNNNNNNNNNNNNNNNNNNNNNNNNNNNNNNNNNNNNNNNNNNNNNNNNNNNNNNNNNNNNNNNNNNNNNNNNNNNNNNNNNNNNNNNNNNNNNNNNNNNNNNNNNNNNNNNNNNNNNNNNNNNCCACCGCACGCUCCCUAGCAGUCCUUCGCCGCCAUGGAUGACUCCCUGCUGUCCCACGUCACCGUCGAGGUCGCUGGCGCUCCUUCUCCUCGGGCGGAUCUCGUCGCCGGCCCAAUUGGCCCCGCUGUUGCCCAAGGUCAAGUCGCGCCUGCCCGCAAGCGGCAGGGCAACGUGGUCGUGCAGGGCAGCGCUACGGCAGCCCUCGCUGCGAGGUCCCGCGCUCCGGGCACCAAUGCUGUUGCGCGAUCUCGGCCGGCGGCGGAGAAGGUCGCCAAGGUCGCCGGCGUCAAGAGGAAGAAGAUUCCGGCCACAAAGAAGCCACCUCCUUCAUCCGCUCACUCCGGCUCGGAAAGAGGUGCCCCGACGAUGCCGCUCAACGGUGCUGCUCCCCCCGCAAGCGAGGUGUUUGACAAAAUGGCCGGAAGGUAUGUGUAUUCGGUCAUGGCAAUUUUCUUUGCUUUUCGCCAUUUUGCAAUAGCUCGUGACUUGUUGUGCUUCACUAUAGCGGUGGUUCGAACAAUGCAACUGCUGAGUUCAUGAACUUGUUGGACACCAACGCCGUUGACAUUGAUCAAGUCCCGUUUGAAGCAUUCGACUACAAUGAAACAGAGGCCGGCGUGGACGAUCAUGGUUUUUAGGACGAUUUAGAGGAGAUCGAAGCGGAAGCAUAUGAGCAAUCGCAAACAAAAACUGGGAAAAGCCAGAGAUUGAAGAAGUACAUGAUCUUGGAAGAUCAAGUUCUCCUGAAUGCAAGGAGUGCGGUGUCUCUUGAUGCAUGCACGGGUACUUGUCAAACCGCCAAGAGGUAUUGGCAAUGGAUCGAAGAUCAAUACUUCCGCAUGAUGGCAAAGUACCCCAAUAGGACUCCACGCACAUUUCGGUCUCUUCAAGGUCGUUGGGAGAAUAUCAAUCCUAUGUGCAGCCGUUGGGCAGCUUGCUUGGAGAGCAAGUAUGCAAUGCACCUCCAAGUGGAGCCGUGGAAUCCGACUAUGUGAGUAUGUUUUGCCUUUGUUCAACUUGUGCAUCAUCAUAUUACAUCAUAUAAAAUGAUUGCAUCAUUUCACUUUGUUCACAUUGUGUAGAAAAAAAUUGCCCAACAUAGAGACAAAUACAUGGAAGCUUCGGAAUGCAAAUUCUUCAAACUAGAGCAUUGUUGGGAGUUGCUCCAAAAGUGCGAUAACUGGAAGUUGAUCGAGAAAGAAACCCCAUAGAAGAGAGGCUCACUUACAAACAUGGAUGAUGAUGAGGACGAUGAUGGCCCAAGAAAUUUGAACAUGCCCGAUGGCGACAAGAAGACUAAGGAGAAGAUGAAGAGAGAGCAUGAAGCAUCGAGCUUGAGGGAGAAGAUUGAUGCCAUGGUGUAAUCAAAUGAGUUGAUGUUGUUGAAGUCGUUGGAGAUCAAGAAAGAGUUGGCUGAGAAGAAGGCAAAGGAGAAGCAAGAAAAGUGGCAAUUGCUCAGGGAAGAGGGGCUGCACAAAGCGGCCAUUGAGGAUAGAAGAGCACAUGCCGAUGAAAACAGAGCCAUGUCCAAGUUGCUCGCCCAAGAGAACAAGAUAAUGUCAAUGAACCGCAAUGACAUGGACGACCUCACCAAAACAUGGCAUGAUAUGGCAAGGAGAGAAAUCUUGAAGAGGAGAAUGGUUGUGUUGGCCGGUGCAUGUUAUACUUCCAGAGAUGUUUUCUCUGCUGGCAAUGUCGAUGAUUUCGGUGCAGGAGUUGGAACAAGCGCCGGAGGUGGAUUCGGUGGUGGUAAUGAACUUCAAGAUGGACUCGAUGGCGUGGAGUGAAGAUCGACCAAGAUGAUGCCGGACGUGGUCGUCACAUUUGCAAGACCCUCUUUUGCGUUUGUCCUACUAAACUGAGGCUUUUAUUUGCGCGUAAACUGUGUUAUGUUGUUUUAAUUUGAACUUAUUCGUGGGCACCAAUUUCAAAUUUGAGAAUUGGGCGUUUUCUGUUUGCGGGUCGACGCGGCGGUGGCCGUGCAGACACCGCAAAAGCCAACCCGUAAAAAAGUAUAUUCCACGAAUAUCCUUUUAUACAGGUCCGUUUGGGGGGUCUGCAUCUGCGGCCAUGCGAGCCAGCCCACAAAAGCCGUUUUCCACGAACUGCAAACGCGUUUUGUAGGCCGGCCGGAUGCGGGGUCUGGUAGAGUUGCUUGUCAGUACUUCAUAUGUUCAUAUCCAUAACCAAAAUAAUAGGUGCGGAUAAGCAUGUCUUAAUUAACCACCAUAAAAUGGGAUACUAAUAGGAUCCAGUUUAUCCCCUAUACUUAGCAAAACUAUAAAUUUAUACUAACGAACAAGAAUAAUAGUAAGUUGCGCGUCCACCCAUUUACCUGUUUAAUAUUUCAAUAAAUGUUAUUAAUUGAUUCCACUUAGUAUAACCAGAGCAUGGCUGCUAUAAAGCACCCAACCUGUAUAGAUCCAUUGCACAUCCACAAAGAUAGAAAGCUACAGAUACAACCGCCGGAAACACAACUCCUAAGUAAAACAAAAAUCUCCUACAUAACAUAGUUUUUCUACAAAUCAAGGAUGAAGACUGUCCAGGUGGUGCUCAUAUGCCUUGUCCUUUCGGUGCUCUGUUCAGGUAUUUUGCCAGUAUGUUUUUCUCCACCGCACUUGUAGGAAAUAUAUUUCGGCUUAUCCGUGCUCCUGCUCUCGAAACCCUGCAGGCAUCGCUGCUCGCUGUGCCCAGUACAACAUUUCCAAGGCAUGUCGAAGCAUAGCUUCAUGCACAGCACUGUGCACCUAUAAAUAUAAGGCGGACACGGUUUAUGGUGUAUGUGCUGAUAACGGAUGCUGGUGCGUAGUCUGCGUGAUACCACCUGCAGCUCAAUCUGCGUCUGCAGCCCAGAUUGCGCCUGCAGGGAAUUAAAGGAUAUCGCUUGCUUCCCUUUCUGCCUAAAUAGAAUAAAACAGUGUCUGAUUAAUGUAUUUUUCUCGUACCGACAACACUGUAUUGGUGUAUCAUGUAGCAAGGACCCGCGAGGCAAAAUAACAUCCUAUUAAUAUUGAGCGCUCUUUGGCGAAAUGCAUGAUUAAUCAAUUGGACACCGUAGAGGAUGUAUAAAUAUCCUUUCAUUGUGAGUGGCCAU